rnacentral:lncRNA from 1 species
GAUGUUUAAAAAAUUAUAAUAUAUAUAAAUAACUUCUCUGUCUCCACCUCUACCAUUCUUGCAGCAACACAAAAUAUUAUGAUUCGAAUAAAAGCUAAAAUUGUACAGAAUCUAACAAUAUGCACUAAAGCAUUCUAGAAAGUGGAGGGAGAGACAGCAAAAGAAGGAAAAGAAGCAGAAGGUCUUAGGUUCAAGGCCCGCUUCUGGCACCAGGUGUGUCCUUGAGCAAGAUACUUCACAACAGCUCCCUGGGCAUCACAAUGUGGCUAUCCACUGCUCCCCCAGGGUGUGGGUAAGAAUGCAGAGGUUCAUUUACCCAAUGUCUCAUGAAUAAAGUUCAAUAAUUAAAAUAUAAGACGAAGAACAAUACUUUGCCAAAUGAUAGUUUCUUACCUUAAUAUAUAAUCUGUAUUAAAAUAGUGUGAACUAAUUUUAUGGUUCUUAUAUAAAAAGUCACUUAACCCUGCUCAUUAUUGCUCCUAACUGUGUUUAUUACUUAUUUUAUUGUAGAGAAGUUGUAGGCGCUGUGGUUCUUGUGCUGCUGUACUGUCCCUUUAAGAAGUUGCCGCAGUCGCUGUUGAUUUGCGUCAUUGUAUUGCGCCGCUCUUCUCAGUUCGCGACGUUUGAUCUGAGAGAAGAGUGUUGAACAAAAUAGCAACUGAGCUCUGCAACAACGAGGAGGAGUUGGACGUAGACACCGGGAACAAAACCUACCUGUAUGAGUCUGAGUCAGAUGAUGAAGACCUGUGCUUCUCAGAGGAUGAUGAAGAUCCGGAUUACUCUUCUCCAGCAUCAGAGAGAUUGCGGUUUACAGUGAUGAGGAACCAGUCACUUCAUUUGCUCCUUCCCCCGCUAAGAGAAAGAAAAUACUCUGCUCUCUAGAGGAUUCUGCUCCAGCUGUCAAAAAGCCUGGAGAAAAGAAGCAGAAGACUUCCACUGAGGCUGAGGAGAAAAGGUGGCAUGAUAGAGAGGAGAAGGACAUCGCUCCUGACCCUCUCAGCUUCAUGCCAGCCAGGACCCCUGGUCCC